GAUGAACGCUAGCGGCAGGCCUAACACAUGCAAGUCGAGGGGCAUCACGAUGUAAGCUUGCUUUCAUUGGUGGCGACCGGCGCACGGGUGAGUAACGCGUAUGUAACCUACCUAUAACUGGAGCAUAACCCGGAGAAAUUCGGACUAAUUCUCCAUAUUUACUGAGGAGGCAUCUUUUUAGUAUAAAAGAUUUAUCGGUUAUAGAUGGACAUGCGUGACAUUAGCUAGAUGGUAAGGUAACGGCUUACCAUGGCGACGAUGUCUAGGGGUUCUGAGAGGAAGGUCCCCCACACUGGUACUGAGACACGGACCAGACUCCUACGGGAGGCAGCAGUGAGGAAUAUUGGUCAAUGGACGGAAGUCUGAACCAGCCAUGCCGCGUGCAGGAUGACGGCUCUAUGAGUUGUAAACUGCUUUUGUAUGAGAAUAAUUUGCUUUACGUGUAGAGUAUUGAAUGUAUCAUACGAAUAAGGAUCGGCUAACUCCGUGCCAGCAGCCGCCGUAACAC
rnacentral:rRNA from 1 species